GAACGGCUAUGCACUGCACAACCCUAGGAGGGGGUGCCAUUCACAUUGACUAUAAUUGAAUGGCGCCACUAGGGUUGUGCAGUGCACAACCUGCAC
rnacentral:pre_miRNA from 1 species